rnacentral:rRNA from 1 species
GUUGUUCGGAAUUACUGGGCGUAAAGGGUUUGUAGGUGGCCACUUAAGUCAGACGUGAAAUCCCUCAGCUUAACUGGGGAACUGCGUCUGAUACUGAGUGGCUUGAGUGCAGGAGAGGAACGCGGAAUUCCAGGUGUAGCGGUGAAAUGCGUAGAUAUCAGGAGGAACACCGAUGGCGAAGGCAGGUCUCUGGGCCACUACUGACGCUGAGGUGCGAAAGCGUGGGGAGCAAACAGG